CCAACCGGGGUAUUCCUUAGUACGGCAAGUGAGCGGUAAAGCUCAAUUUGAAAUCUGGUACUUUCAGUGCCCGAGUUGUAAUUUGUAGAAUUGUCUUUGAUUAGGUCCUUGUCUAUAUUCCUUGGAACAGGACGUCAUAAAGGGUGAGAAUCCCGUUUGGCGAGGAUACCUUUUCUCUGUAAGACUUUUUCGAAGAGUCCAGUUGUUUGGGAAUGCAGCUCAAAGUGGGUGGUAAAUUCCAUCUAAUGCUAAAUAUUGGCCAGAGACCGAUUGCGAACAAGUACUGUGAUGGAAAGAUGAAAAGAACUUUGAAAAGAGAGUGAAAAAGUACGUGAAAUUGUUGAAAGGGAAGGGCAUUUGAUCAGACAUGGUGUUUUUUGCAUGCACUCGCCUCUCGUGGGCUUGGGCCUCUCAAAAAUUUCACUGGGCCAACAUCAAUUCUGGCAGUAGGAUAAAUCUGUAAGAAUGUAGCUACCUCGGUAGUGUUAUAGCUUAUUGGAAUACUGCUAGCUGGGAUUGAGGACUGCGCUUCGGCUAGGAUGUUGGCAUAAUGGUUAAAUGCCGCCCGUCUUGAAAAAAAGGAACACAAAACGUGCCAGAACGCUGUAGGAACACUCCUUCCCUCCGCCGCGGACCGGGGGGGAGGGGUGAAGCCGACUACCAACAUCGCGUUUUCUGUG
rnacentral:rRNA from 1 species